AGAGUUUGAUCAUGGCUCAGAACGAACGCUGGCGGCGUGGAUAAGACAUGCAAGUCGAGCGGGAUUUCUUUUGGUAGCAAUACCGAAGGAAGUCUAGCGGCGAACGGGUGCUUAACACGUGGGCAACCUGCCAAGAAGUGGGGGAUAGCUCGCCGAAAGGCGAAUUAAUACCGCAUGUGAUUAGAGAGGACAUCCUUUCGAAAUCAAAGUCGGGGCAACCUGACGCUUUUUGUGGGGCCCGCGGCCUAUCAGCUAGUUGGUGAGGUAACGGCCCACCAAGGCUUUGACGGGUAGCUGGUCUGAGAGGACGACCAGCCACACUGGGACUGAGACACGGCCCAGACACCUACGGGUGGCAGCAGUCGAGAAUUUUUGACAAUGGGGGAAACCCUGAUCGAGCGACGCCGCGUGGAGGAUGAAGGUCUUCGGAUUGUAAACUCCUGUCAUUGGGGAACAAGGUGCAUACGUUAACUGCGUGUGUAUUGAUAGUACCCGAAGAGGAAGAGACGGCUAACCCUGUGCCAGCAGCCGCGGUAAUACAGAGGUCUCAAGCGUUGUUCGGAUUCAUUGGGCGUAAAGGGUGCGUAGGCGGCGCGGUAAGUCGGGUGUGAAAUCUCGGGGCUUAACUCCGAAACUGCAUUCGAUACUGCCGUGCUUGAGGACUGGAGAGGAGACUGGAAUUUACGGUGUAGCGGUGAAAUGCGUAGAUAUCGUAAGGAAGACCAGUGGCGAAGGCGGGUCUCUGGACAGUUCCUGACGCUGAGGCACGAAGGUCAGGGGAGCAAACGGGAUUAGAUACCCUAGUAGUCC
rnacentral:rRNA from 1 species